CAAGUACUCCCUCCGUCUCAAAAUUCUUGUCUUAGAUUUGUCUAAAUACAGAUGUAUCAAGUCACGUUUUAGUAUUAGAUACAUCCAUAUCUAGAAGAAUUUAAGACAAGCAUUUUGGGACGGAGGGAGUACAAG
rfam:Triticum aestivum genome assembly, contig: Triticum_aestivum_CS42_TGACv1_scaffold_113232_2AS